UACCGGAACAGUUGUUAAAUUCUAUUUUCAUGGCACUCCAAGCUUCACAUAGUACAGAAGUUACAGCAGAGGUGGCUGGUCUUUGUCAGUAUCUCUGAGCAAGAAAUCACAGAAUCACAGAACAUGCUGCUUUGGAAUGGACUCAUGAGGAUCAUCAAGCCCAGCUUCUGGCCCUACACAGGACACCCCAGGAGUCACACCACGUGCCUGAGAGCAUUGUCCAAAUGCUUCUUGAAUUCAGACAGGCUCAGAAAAGUCCAUGAAAGCACAUAUUAACUAUGGUUAGGCCUGGUUUGGUCCUUUCAUCUAUUUCCUGGGUUUGUGUGUGUGCUGUUUUGUUGCCUCUGUCGCUGUGUUAGGGAACAUUCUCUGUGCACUGUGAGCCAUUCACCCCAGCCUUCCUACACCUCUGUAGCCACAGAAAGACAGCCUGGAUGUCACAGGUCUGGGUGUGAUAGGGUGGGAGCCUCACAGCACUGGGAUGGGCAGCAGGAUGUCAGAGGUACAACUCCUAGUGAGAGUAUUAAUAAUUGGGUUUUGUUUAUGAAAUAAUUGAGAGACUGGAAACAAUCUCAGCUAUAUGGUUGAGUAAGGAAAAAGCAAGCCUAUGGUUGCUACAAGUGAAACAGAAGUUUUAAAAAUAGAAUUAUGUAAAAUAUUAUCAGAACCCACUUUUUGGAACUUCAUAAACUCCGUAAAGGAGAUUACGGUAGUUAUUACUGCAAUGAUUAAUUUCGUUCUUCUGGCUGGAUCACGUCUGCAGCUGUGAUCUCUAUGUUCUGGAAGUUUGAUUUCAACUCCUGAAGGGAAAUGCUCUUCUGAAGCAUUUAGCUUUUUUUCAACAACAAUGCUAUUAUGUGGAGAGCCACAUGUUGCCUAUUUUUAUACUACAUUCUACUUUUACUGCUAUAAUUAUUUGUUACGUGUUCACUGGUUGUUGUCUACUAUGAGCUGUUCAGCCUGCAGCUAUGUUAUUGGUGUUAAAAUAUACUGAAUUUUACCCACUUUGCCAUUAUUUUUUCCCUUACUCUUCCUAUCCUUUCAUCUUCAAUAAAUCUGUAUCUGGUAUUGCAAACAGAUAGGAGAAGCAGAUUGAUACUCAAGCAGUUCUGUUUCCUACCAGGGUAAUUAUAAUUUUCAGUUCUGAGGAAGAGUUGAUAGGUUGAUGUCUUCAAGCAGUUGCUGGUUUUGCUUUUCUCAACAUCAUCACUCUCUGAAAAGUUUGUAAUUGUUGUCUUAAAACCUUUUACUAGAUUAAUGUGUUCAAUUAUUUUUCAUUCAUUUUCUUAUUUUGGGCUAAGUUAGUGUAUACUAUCUGACUCUACAAUAUUGUAGUUUUGAAUGCACUAAACUAAACUGGACAAGGGCUAGAAAAAGUUAAUCUGAAUUAAACAUUUAUCUGCAGACUUGCAUUGGGAAAAUAGAAGGAAUGAAUUAUAGCUGCUGUAGUUACAGUAUUUUGGUGUAAGUUUGUAAAGGGGAACUACAGGAAGCAAUGGCUUAGAAACAUCUGCCAUGGUAUAAAAUGGCCAGGUGGAGAUCACUGCACUUAUUAACUGGAUCUUGGCAAGGGGAUUGUGUGAAAGCUUCUCACCUGGUACUGUACAAAUUUAGUUGGUUUUGCUUGAAUUUGCCUUCACCAGCCUUUAAGUUCAUCUUCAGGUUGUUUAAGCAGUGGUAUCCUUGUAGAUACUUGAUCUUUGAAGUAGAUAAGAAAUGCUCACCCACCCUGCUAUUGCAGAUCAGGAUGUGCUGAAUGGAGAGUAACUUGGAGCAAUAUUCUCAAUUGUUUUAACCAGCUCCCUAGAGAGACCAUUGAUUGUUUUUUUUGGUUGUGGUGCUUGUUUUUGUUUGUUUGGUGUUCUUGUUUGUUUGUUUUAUUUUUGUUAAUCAUUGACUACAGAAAUCCAUUUUAAUUGUAUCUGAACUUGUGUAAUGGAUGUAUCUAUACAAAUCUAUCAGGUAUUAAAUUUUUUAUAUUGGUAAAAAUAGCUUUUAUUAACUUAUGGCCUUAGGUGCUCUGUAUACUGUUUUGCAACCAUUCAUGAUUAAAAUGGCUCCAUGUGUUAGCUGUAUUUGUUUAAUAGAGCAUGAAUUUUACAGAUUAAAUAUUGGGUUAUUAUAAUGGAAUUCAAAUUUUAUCUUGAAUGUUCACCACUAGGCUGAAAAGAUGUAAUUUGUCUCAGCUGGAGCACUUGGUUUGGAUAGAUCUCCAUUUAAAAACUGAAUUCAAAAGUUAUUUAUUAAGACCUUGAAGAAUCAAGUAAUUCUUUCCACUGAUACAUCUGAGAUGUCCCAGGAGAAAAAUUCUUCAUCCAGCAAACUGCAGCUCCAUGGAGAAAUUAGAAGAUAAAAAGUGGCUUGCUGUUAACAUGGUCUAAUAGCUGAACAUUUUAAAUUUUAUAUUGUAGUCCUUUUGCUAAAGUAAAACGUGUGAAAGGAGAAGAAAUGAAAGCACAUUCUCAGCCAUAACAGUGAGGCUUUAUGAUGCAGAUUUAGAAUAUCAAACCCUUGCUCAAAAAUCAGAUAAUUUCUUCAUAAAAUGCAAAUGGGAAAUAUCUUCUCUUAUUUCAAAAAGCAAGCUAUUAACUAGAAUGUUAUUUUUCACCUUUUUGUUAAAACUCAUUUUUCACUAUGUUCUAAAACAAUUUUAUAGCUAUUCAGAAGUUCUCUGAAUCCCUAAUCCCACAAAUAUUUAGUACACAUUUAACCUCAGGCAUAUAAGGGACAACUUUUAAUAGCUGAAGAUAGGUCAGGUUGUAAACAAUUUUUCAGUUGUUUUUGUUUGUUUGUUUUUCCCCAUGGGGUUCUUAAUGGAAAAGUAGAAAAGACUUCAAUAAAAAAAAAUUACUCACUGAAGAAGAUAAGGAAUCAUGGUUUCAUCAGUCUGAGAUCCUGCAAGAGUCAAGAGCUGCACAUCAGACAUUUAAGUCUGUUAUGUCUUGGAGACUUAGGGAGGACUUUGAAAUCUUUAUAUUCUCUUUGGCAAUGUCUGUUCUUGAAACUUUCACUUCAUGUACCUUAUUAAUGUACUGGUGUGGCUUGCUCAUCUCCUAUUUAUGAUACCUUCCAGAGAUUAAUUACACAAAAUAAUUGUGGCAUGUGUAAGAUAAAAGUUGGAGCUCACGUUUGGGUUAGGCUAUGAGCAGCAGCAAUUCCCUACACUGCAGACCCUAGGAAUUUUCUGGAAGGUCAUGCCAUAAAGAAUAAAGAGAGGCAUUGUGCAGUGCAAUUAUCUGUAUUAAAGUGGGAAAUCUACCACAACUGUGGUUGGAGUGAGUGGUUCAAAAGCAACCUUAAUAACUGUACUCUUUUGGUCUUCAAGGAAAUACUCAGUUUACUUCACAACCCUUUUCCAGGGCCAAAUUUAUUAUAAACAGCUGCCUCACAGGAAUGCCCUUUACCUUAACACCACUUGAAUUCAGAUCAAUGAAUCGUGAAUCCUCUUUUUAAAAUACUGCUUAGACUGGGAAUAAAAGGUUCUUGCAUUUUUUUAUUCUUCCAUCUUCCCUUAAUGUGUCAUAUGCCUGUCAUUUUCUUAAGUCCUUAUACAAGCUCUGCAAUGAGGGGGAAAAAAACCUAUAAUUUGAAGUUUUUAAACAAUUUUGUAUAAGGAUUUUGAUAGUACCUUGAAAAUGCCAACUAAUUUUUUUCUUUCUUUCUCAGAGAGCUUUACAAAAUAAGCCACUAAAUUUGUUACAGUACUUCAAAUUUUUCCCUAGAUAAAGUUUCCACUGAUUUAAGUGGCAAUUUUUCUUGAAAAUAUAGUUGCAAUUCUUUAUUUUUUCUUUAUUUGUUACUUUCAGUUGUUAUAGUGAUUUGAAAUCUUGCUCUUUUUAUGUUGUUCCUGUGAAAUUUAUUGGUAGCUACAUUCUGUAACUCAUUCAAAGGCCUUGGUUCCUUGGUUGCACAGGUUUUAUGACCACACUUAUUCUUUGAGAGAUGUGCUAUUUGAAUCUAUCUUUACUGCUGUCUAGACUUCCAGUCUGUAGUAAUAAAUACAUUAUCUCAAUAUCUCACAUACAGUCUGAUAUUUCUAUCCUUAACAUGCCUCUGACUUAAUUUAUGGCCAUUAUUAUUACAUCAUGCAAUAUAAAUUAACCAUAUAAAUGAAGUUCUCAAUUGAUGAAAGCUAGCAUAAUUUCUGAGGUUUUCUUAAUAAGUCUUUGUUGGAAAAUAUCCUGUGUGUAAAGUUUGUGUAGGAUUGUAAGAAAGUGCUGCUCUGUGAUGCCAGCUCCUCAAGAACAGUGGAGUUACUGACUCUGUGUAGUGCAUCAGCUACUGCUGGUGCUGAACAUGUGCUGUGCUGUGUAGAGGUCUAAACUGUGCAGUUAGCUAAAGCUGUGUAGCAACUUUAAUCUGGUGUAUUUAUCUUGUGGUUUCAGAUCCUCAGUUUUGGGGUUUGCAGAUUUGUGGGGUGUCUCUUCUGUGAAAACUUCAUCUUUCUUUGGGAAAGGUGGACACUGUGUUAUAUGAUGCGAAUUUUCAGGCAUCAAAAGAAGAUGUUUCUCUAAAAGUUUAAAGGCUAAAAGAAGUAUUAGUGCUUCAGAUAGGGUAUGGGAAACUUCCAUGGUAGUGAGAUGUAAGCUGAUUUGUUCUUAGACAAGCAAAUUGUCCAGAAAUUAAAAGAAUCAAACAUAAAGGUGAGGAGAGAAUAAUAAAAUUGUGGAAUUAUCAUGUUGGAAGAGACCUUUAAGGUGAAGUCCAGCCAACAACCCAGCACUAUCACUGUAACCCCUAAACCACUCUGCCUUAUCACUCAGAAUGAGAAAUGCUGAAUGAUAUUGCUGGAGAGCUGAAGUACAUGGUACUUCAUGUUACUCUGAGGACAGCGUUUUCAGCUCUUGAAUUCACUCCACAGUUUUUAUGUAGCCCCAUUUGUUGUGAAACUACAUGGGGACAUUGGGGCCUGUUUCAGAAAACAGUGCAACACCUCCUAAAGAUGCUGUGUAGCUGUUAAUGGACUUGAUGGGAAUCAGCUUAGUGGUUACCAUCCCAUCACUGCCCUUCUGUUACAGGAGGUGGCAUCUGUGCACAGCAAAUGUCUCUGUUAUCAUCCUUCUCCCAGAGACAUCAUCAAGUGGUAAAACUGCACCUGUUCCAUUUCCAGACUAUCAUUUACCUAAAAGACUUGUUAAUAUGAACAAGAUGGGGAAGUAAAAUCCUUGUCCUUUGUGGUCUUCAUGCCAGGUGUUGCGAAGGAAGUUGCCCAGAAGGAGGACUAAGCUGCUCUGAUCAGAUGGUAGCUCUGGUUGGGGUUUUCAAACCUCUUUGAUUUUCUGACAUACACAGCUUGUGUGUAGAAUAAAAUAAUGAUAAGCCAUGUCUGGAUCAGGCAAUUCUCUUUUUUUACAAGCAAAACAGAGCCAACAAGUCCUUGUUGAGAUACAACAAUAAACAACUUGGUUAUUUUCCACAGUCCUCUUUGUGGCUGCUAGCAGAGGCAAUGUUAAUAGUACCAGGAGGGUACUUGGGAUCUGUCACAGGGAAAAAGGAAGGGAUAUCAGAUAGUGUUCUUGUUUCAGGCAGCAUAAACACAGAUAAUCUGAACUGUCUACCCAGUAAAACAAUGAUGUGAGGUAAAAAGGCCUUGUGUACACAGAGUAGUUUCAUCUAAUUAGGACAGAUUACAAAAUAAGAGCAGAAUUGUGGCAACCCAGGUUUUGUCAUGUGUCCAGUACCAAGGUUCUGUAUUCAUUAUUUUUGGAGAGCUGAUACCGUAUAAGAGUUGCACACAUUGAUAUCUAUGGCUACAUAUUCAAGAAUGUGAUAGCUGGAUCCAAGGUGGCCUGUCCUGAUGACAAUCCUGUUUAUGACACAAAAAGACUGAUGGCUUUUCAUUUAAUGAUACACCAGAAGCUAAGAAAAAGAAGCUUUAACCAGUCAGUCUGGGAUACAUGCAUUUUUAGGCUAGCAAAGUAUUCCUAUCCUUCUUGUAGUUUUGAUUUUUCUUUCCUUGUGUUCAAUUUUAUUAAUGAAACACUGGUUUAAAUUAUCUAUUCCUGUGGAGAAUUCCUGGAUGUAGAAUAGCCAAGAAAUCUGUAACUGUUCAUCCUGCGUAGUCUUUGGAUGUCAUUCCUUCCUAAGAUGUGUCCAAAUUAAAAUGUUUGGCUGUAAGUUGCUAAGUGAAUAGUGCUGCCACAGCUCCUCCUCUGGAUCCUCAGCUGUAGAUUUACUCUCUGCAUGCAGCUCACUUUGCAGGUGUCUCAGGGACAUCCAGCUUGGCUCUGUCUCAUUCUCUGGCCACUGUAGCAGUCAGCACUGAUGUUCUGCACUCACUUGUGACAAGGAAGUUGCAGAAUUUGGGGAACCAGCCCUGAGGAAGGACUGACUGGUGCAGUGUAGCAGACUCCAUCGGUGGGAGAACCAAAGCACACUGAUCCCAGAGCAGCCUGGGCACUGUGCCACUGGAAAAGAAUUAGUGCAAAAAGGCAAAGCUUGGUCCCUUUCUUCUAACAGAAUUUUGUUUGGGGGAAUGCCUGCUAAGUGCUGAAGCACUUUUUUCACCAGAGUGAAAAAAAACGCCUAAAACUACUAACUACUAAGUAUGAGUAAGAGCCAGAUGUGCUGACUGGCUGGGGAGGGUGCUGCAGGGCCACUGGCCUUCAUAGUGUGGUUUGCUAGAGUUGAGGAUGGAAUUUUUCUAUGGAAGGAAAGCAUAUUACAAUUUAGAGACAUCUUUUCAUUAUUAGUGCAUUAGUAAUGAUUUGUGUGUUUAAACUGAAACAGUGUAAAAUGAAGCACAGGAUGGGCAACAGUAUAACAGUGCUCCCUUCAAUCCCUAACAGCUGCCAGGGAAUCAUAAGGUGGAAGAUUUCCUAUUAUUAUAAAUUUUUCAAAAUUAGGAAACAUACAGAAAAACCUCAGGUUUUUAAUUAAUCUUUUAAAUUUUGAUACACUUUCUAAAUGAAUUAAUUGCCUUUUUUUAUUGCUUUCUUAGUUGCCUCAGUUAUCUCAAUUACUAAGGAGUUAGCUCCAGGCAAACUUCAAAAAUUUCCUUGUGGCAACUUUUCAUUGGCUUUCAUUUGCAGAUGUCUAAAAGAGAUGCUGCAGAACAGUGCAUAUAAACCUUUAUUUACUGUUUCUUUCCAGUACUGGCUACUCUUCCUAGAUUGCACAGUCCUGGUAAUACAAAGGCUGAUGAUGGGCUAUUGGAAUAUUUGUCUGUGUUCUCUCUGGUGGCAUUUGCCUUGUUGCUAAACUACCUAUUUUUCCACUCUUCUUCUUUAAGUGCACUUAAUAAGGGUUAAUUCUAUCUUAUGACUUGGUUUCAUAAUCAAGUACUGCCAAUGCUAAUCUGUUUAGUUUCUGUGCAAUUAAAUGACCAAACACUGCCUACACUUGUUAACUGAAAGUCAAGUGACUUUUAAAGAUGGUCUGAAUAAAUCAAGUGGAAAUGUGACCUUGUGUUAGUCUUUUUCUAUACACAUAACUUUAUAUUGUUUACUGAGGUAUUUUUUUAGUCAAUUUGGCAAUUUCAAAUUCCCAGUAUCAAAUAUAAAGAAGUACAAAAUCCUGAGCAUACUUUCCUUUACAUUAGUAAGCCAUUGAUCAAGUUUUUAAUGUGUUACUUUGUCAAAGUUGUCCUUUUCAUACAAAAACGAAGCAAAGAACAAUAAUUUUUUAAAUACUCAGUGAUUAAAAACUAAAAAAUAUUUAAGUUUUCUAAACAAAUUAAAGUUUCCUGCAAUAAGAUGAUAUUUUACAUAAAAUGCUGAAACACUUCCAUCAUCUUAUGCUUAGAUUUUUUAUUUGUCUGCUAAUGGCUAAAAGAUAAAUAGUUGUUUAUAUGUUUCACAUUUGAAUGCUCUUUCUUUAAAUUCCUUUUUAAAAGAAGUAUUUUUCUUACAUAAUUUAUCAUAAGGUAUAUUUGCAAAUUAUAUACUGAAAUAUCCAUCCAGAUAACCUGAAAUAUAUAUAUGAUAUAUGUAUAUAUAGAUAGGUAGUGCAUGUCUGUAGGUAAAUAUAUAUUUAUAGGUGCUAUAGCACAAGCCAGGAACCUUUUCAGUAGCAAUUCACUUCUGAGUGGAGCCAUGGAUCACGAGGAGAAUGCAGACAGUGAAUGCAGAAGGGACUGAACCUGUUUUUAUGGUCUACAUAACACAAAUCAUAUUUAGUGCUGGCAGAUGGAAUAGAGUGCUCAGGACUCGGUAAUAAGGAACAAGAGCACAGCAGAUAAGAAAACACUGAGUGUAGAGGGCAUAACUCUGCAGCAGACACAGUGUUUAGGUGAGGAGCAAUAUAACUAAUUAUGUGCCAGUACAAACAGUCCUGAGCAGGAGUGCUUUGAGCCAAGCUCUGGGUACACACGGCUCGUGCAGCCCAAUUUACAUCUCCCUUUUUCAGUGAGUAAUUGAGCACCCUACCCUAGAGCUGCUGAGCUCUGAGCAUUUCUGUGUGCACUUACUGCACACACACAGUCCCAGAAACACACUCUCUCUUCAAAGCUGCAGAUAAUGAGCUGUUUUUGCAUUUGUUUGCAUGCAAUUAAAAAUCCAGUGGCAUUCACCGUCUGAAAUGAAAAUACUUGUCACCUCUUUAACAUUUAAAAAAGGGAAAUUCUAAAUUUGAUUUUGUCAGCUAAUAGGAAUAUACUUAUUACCAAGUAAAAAUGGACGAAAAUUAAGCUGAAAAUCUUAGAUCAACCUCACACAUUAAAAUGUUAUUCUGCAACAUAAUACAAUUGUUUUACCUCUUUGUCUCUUAUUAGAAUACUUUAGCAUGUUUCACACAACGGGAAAUUACUUUUUAGGCCAAUAAACCAAUCUUUGGAUUAUCUUCACAAAUUGGCAUAAAUCCUUACUUUCUCUGGCUCUUGGAAUUUUUUUCACCAAGAAACUUCUCAAUAAAGCUUCUUUUGAAGAUUCACCUCAGAUUGGUGAGAGCUGUCAACUGUCUUUAAGCUCUUGAGGACCAUCUGUAUUUUUAAUUAAUGUCUCAUUACAUUAAUUUCCCUGUCUCUGCCUGUGAGUUCAGUUAUACACACUGCAGUUCUGUCCCUUUACUUUGCAUUAGCUUCUGUCAGAUAAUGAUAUGUUAGUCUUUUAUACAAAAUUUUGUCUUUUCCUCUCCACUGGUAUAUCAUAUAUGAAAUUACUACAGAAAACAGGGAAUUAAUAUUGCCAAAAUGUGGUUCCUCUGGUUGUAAUUAAACAAUUGAAAGAAAAUACAUUCAUAAAUGACAGCAAGGAAAAAAAUUCUCAAAACUUCAGGAAUAGGAUAUUUGAGUUACUAGAGUUUUGGCACCUUUUAAUAUGUACAGGAAGUUCUUUACUCAUGAAGAAAAAAAUUUACUUUGUGAUGUUCCCAGUAAGAGGUUUCCUUAACCUGAACUUGAAACUGAAUGAAAAAUAGAUUUUAACUGUUGAUUCAAGAGAUCUAUUACCUUUUUAAGUGUCUGAAGACUAGACAGGUUCAAUUUUUGUCAGCUACUGUGUAUAUAAUAGGAUAUGAUAUAGCUGUGAAUCCAUAGUAACUCAAUAGUCAAAUUUAAAUUGCUGUAGCUGUACAUUUUUUUUCUGUGCACUGUGGUGUUCUUAUUACCAAAACACAAUAUUAAAAAUAGUCAAAAAAAAAUUAAAGAGAAGAAAAAAAUUGUACUCUUGUAAAUAAUACAUAAUCAGUCACGUUUCUUCUGAGUUUUGCCAGUGGCUUGAAUGGUAGAGAAUAGAGUCUUCCUCCUGCUGAGAAGGAAUAGUUAAACUUGAACUGCAAGAUUACCUUUACAUUGUCUUGUGAUUGUGUAUGGUGGUGAGAAAACCUCCUGGCCAGUUUUUGUUUGUUCCAAAGCAUCAGGUAGGUGCUGGGGAUACAUCUCAGUAAGUACUGAAACAGCCAAAAGGCUGCAAAGAAAUUGGCUCUAUAAAUUCUUGCAUUAGGGUCCCAGUGGGGUCCUGUGCUUUGGUGUCUGAAAAUAAGUGAGAACUCACUGUGGGAGUAGUUGUAAGUCAGAAGAUUCUUGUGAGGUUGUAUGCAUUUUAUGUGCUCCCUUUGUAUUGUUUUACCUUGAUGUGAGACACUGAUAAAAGCAUGGAAGAGGCUGUUUAACCUGUGCUCCUGAGAAUCCUCUCUUUCUCAUGUCCUUGCCUAACAGCUUGCUGCAGAAAUGUUUAUUCCCAACCAGCUAUCCCUGUAUUGCCUUUAGGACCAGCAGAUAGGGUGACACUCUUCAGGUGACAGGACAUUUUGUGUGCUAAAGUAAUUAAAUAAAGACAGAAGGCAUUCUUAAAACAAAUAAAUUCCACAUCUAGAGCUGUGUACUUCCCCUUGUAGGAGAUAUUAAAUAAUUAUGUAUUGAUGGGAGACUGGAGAGAGACUUCAUGGAGCUAUCUGCCAAUACAGUCCUUUUCCAGACUGCUGCCAUUUCAGCACAGGAAUUUCAGGGCUCCUCCAGCUGUGUUUUUUCUGGGUGCCCUUUAAAACCUUUUAACUGAGAUAACUAGGAUAAUCCUUUGGCUCUUAGGUUUUUGUAAUAAAACAUGAUAAUGGAGACCAUGUUGUUUGAAGCAAGUAAGUAAGAAGGAAAGGAAAUUAAAAGAAAAAAAUGCAAAAAUUUCACACAGUGAAUCUUACAGGAUUCUUUCUAUUGUUGUUGAAAUUUUGGGUUUUGUUCAACAGUUUUAAAUAGUUGCUUGAUUUCCAGGCUUCAUAAUCACAGAGAAUAGUCAGUAAGAUUUCUUGCAUUUUCAAUGUGGGAAAUAAUUACUUGCAUAUACUCCAUUUCCAGUGACCUCAUAUUUGUGGGUUGUCAGUGUCUCUUCUAAGGACUGGAUGACUUUACAUCCAAAUUUUUUGAGUGUCGUCCAGUCUGGAGUGCAUUGAGUUUUUUAAUGUGCAUAUGUGUGACUAAUUAUGGUAUCUGUUGACAUUUUUGAAUGUGAUACUUAAAGAUUUCUGAUAAGCUGAGCAGAAUUUACCAGUUCUAGAAACAAAUCAGAACUAUUUAUGCAGAGCACUCCAAAAUUCAAACACCCCAAGAAUAUAAGCUACUGAAAGCUGACAGAAGAGUUUCUGAUUGGGUGUUUGGAAAAAAAUUCUUAACUGGAAGGGUUGUCUAGCAUUGGAACAGGCUGCCUAAGGAAGUGGUUUAGUCCAUCCCUGCAGGUUUUUAUAAGACAUGUAGAUUUGGCUCUUAGGGACAUGUUUUAGUGGUGGAUGUGGCAGUUCUGGGUUAACGGUUGGGCUCAAUCAUCAUAAAGGUCUUUCCCAACCUAAAUGAUUUUAUUAUUCCUAUUGUCCUUUGCUGCCUGGUUUUUAAAUUUUUUUCUUUUUCAGAUACUUAGCAUGUUUAUUCAAGACAUCUCUACCUUGAAGUUUGUAUGUCAACUGAUUUGAAAUAUGAAGGCUGAGAAGCUUAACUCAAAAAAACCCCAAAGAAACAAAAGAUGUUGAACUGUGGAAAAGGGCUGGAAUCCAGCCUUGGUAUGGUGCGUUGCCAAUAUUUUACCUGAAAACUGUGAUUAGAAGCAAAUGUCUAAUUUGAGAAGGCCAAUUCAGGGAUACAGUUUCUGUCUGGCACAGUCUUCUGUUCUGUGUAAAUCUACACAACCAUGAGCAUCCAGCUCUGGGGAGCACGGGAUCCAGAUGGAUCUUUUUGCUGAGUCUGGGAUUUUGUUUACAAAUGUUCCACUCCAAAGAAACCCCCAACUUAAAAAUUUCCAGCAUGUUGUAAAUAGAGUAAUUAAAAAAUGUAUUUGGAAGUUCAUAUAUAUUUAGCACAUGUCCUGAAGGUAGAGAUGCUGAAUUUUCCUGCUAGGUUUUAACUUCAUUUUAAGCUUUUCUCUUUCUUGGUCUUAUUUUUCCUUUGAAUAUGAGUUUUGACAUGUUGUCUGAGUAUUUUUUUUUCAGCUGAACUUUUGUCCCAUGUUUCCAAAUGAAAAGAACUUCUUUCUACUUCACUGGUUACAUUUGUGUGUUACAACACAUCACUGCAGGAGGAUUAUGUUUGUCAAACAAAAUUAAAGCAUAUUUAAAGAACAGACUUCUCCAGUGCUCUGUAGGCUUCUGGAAUAAAUUUUGUGACACAGAAGACAAAUUCAACAUACUUUAGACUAAACUUUAAAUAGAAGAUUUUUUUUAUAUCUACUCAUGAUAUGUCUCAGGAUGGGGUGUCAGGAAACAAGCCCAAUUCCUGCAGCAUCCAGGUGAGGAUUUACAGGAGAAAAUGUUUCUGCAAUAAUUACCAAUAUAAUCUAUAUAUUUUGCCAUCCAGUACCCAUAAAGAGCUGCUAAAACUUUCUUUUGACUUCUUUUUAGAUUCUUUUAAAUUUAACCUUUUUGUUACUUUACUUCAUCAUUUUUAUCUCAUUUUUCAUCCUGCAGUUAGGAACAAUCAUUUUCUUCAUUGUUUAUGAAAAGAAUUUGAAAGAUGUAUGAGUAUUUACUCUUCUUGAAACAACCAUAUUAAUCAAAUUCUGUAUAAAACAUAUAUUCUACUUUAAUAUGGUUCAGAUUACCAAAUGCAGAAAUAUAAUAAUUUCAAAUGGAAUCUUUUCAUUGUCUCUGCUAGAAAUGCAACAUCUGAGCAUGGGGUAUGCUGAAAUCUCCAACAACCCAGAAUUAGACAUGUCUAUCUGAAAUCCCUGAAAUUAUCUGGAAAUAGUUCCCAACUGCCAAAUUGCACUAAGAAGAGUUUGAAAUACAUCAAUUUUUGCUCAUUAUGAAUUGUUGUAAUUGCUCUAGGAGUGUGAACAGCUGUCCAGAAGACAGUCUCUAUGCCUGACAUGGCAUGAGUGAAAUAGAGACUCAUUACACACCCUCUGCCGCUAUUGCUGUCUAGAUAAAAAAUGUAGCAAAGUGCACCUGAAUAUGAUGCAAGAUUCCAGCUUGAUAUGAACUUGACUUGGAGAGAGUCACACAUUUAAGGUCUUUCACUGAGAACUAAAGAUUUGACUCACAAAGCAAAAUAUUCUCAGGAAAAAUUAUUUUGUCCAAAAGUUUAGUUCUAAUAGGUAGUGAAUUUUUUUUAUUCCUUUUCAAGUUGCAUUUGAUGCAUGAGUUGUUUACAGCUUUACAGGUGGCAUGAUAUAACUUUUUGGUAAUGUAUGGGAGAAAAAAAAGAAAUCAAAGGGUGGUUAGUGGUAAAGAGAAGUUAAAAAAAUAUAUGGAAAAUUAUUUGAAAAUUAAUUAUAUGGAGGAGCUUGAAAGAAAAAAACUUGGAGAUCUGGUGGUCAGGACAGGGGGAAGUGUUUGAGACAGAAACAUGCAGAAGGAAAUAGGUGUUAAAGUAACUUUACCUUCUGCCUAUGUAAUGCUAAAUCUGAACAGAUGCACAAUGAUAUGGAAUUUGGUAUUUUAAAGAUGAUGACAUUUAUUUUCUUCAUCUCUUUUUUUUCUGGACUCAUCUCCAUUGAGUAUGACCAACUUUGUGUAUUGGCUGUUUUUGGGGAGGUUCCAUUAAUAUUCAUAAAUCAUAUUUAGGCAGAAUGAAUCCCCAUGUUCCUGCUUCAACAGUACAUCCAAGGCUGUAUUGGAGACACCCCAAUAUAGACCGCAAAUUGUUUUGAUUUAAUGUGAUUUUUUUCAUUUUUGGUAUAUCAUGAGAUUUGGGAGUUGAUUGAGCAAGCCUAACUCAAUGCUUAUGUUUCAAUUUUUGUCAGAGGAAAAAA